rnacentral:rRNA from 1 species
AGAAUCAACGCUGGCGGCGCGCUUAACACAUGCAAGUCGAACGAGAAAGCCGGGGCAACCUGGUGAGUAAAGUGGCGUACGGGUGAGUAACACGUGGAUAAUCCACCUCUUAGUGGGGAAUAACCUUGGGAAACCGGGGCUAAUACCGCAUAAGCCCGCGAGGGGAAAGCAGCAAUGCGCUGAGAGAGGAGUCCGCGGCCGAUUAGCUAGUUGGUAGGGUAAUGGCCUACCAAGGCUUUGAUCGGUAGCCGGCCUGAGAGGGCACACGGCCACACUGGCACUGAAACACGGGCCAGACUCCUACGGGAGGCAGCAGUGGGGAAUCUUGCACAAUGGGGGAAACCCUGAUGCAGCGACGCCGCGUGAUCGAUGAAGCCCUUCGGGGUGUAAAGUUCUUUCGGCAGGAACGAUAAUGACGGUACCUGCGGAAGAAGCUGCGGCUAACUACGUGCCAGCAGCCGCGGUAAUACGUAGGCAGCGAGCGUUGUUCGGAGUUACUGGGCGUAAAGAGUGCGUAGGUGGUUUUCCAAGUUUGGUGUGAAAACUCCCGGCUCAACUGGGAGGGUGCGCCGAAAACUGGAAGGCUAGAGUGUGGGAGAGGAUAGCGGAAUUCCUGGUGUAGCGGUGAAAUGCGUAGAUAUCAGGAGGAACACCUGCGGUGCAGACGGCUAUCUGGACCACUACUGACACUGAGGCACGAAAGCGUGGGGAGCAAACAGGAUUAGAUACCCUGGUAGUCCACGCCCUAAACGAUGCAUACUUGGUGUGGGUCAUUCAGUUGAUCUGUGCCGGAGUUAACGCGUUAAGUAUGCCGCCUGGSGUGUACGGUCGCAAGGCUG